CCAAAGUAGUGCUGCUACACACCAUGAACAAGAAAGAGAAGACCUCAGCCUGCAUGAACGGUCUUGAAAUGCGAAUGGUCUUGGGUCUAGGCUUUUUAUAUUGAGUUUCUCUACUGUCUCCCCUUCUGCUCAAGCAAAAUCUGUGUGAAAAGAUCUGCUGGGAAGGAGCUGACUGCUUAUGAUUCUCCAUUGUGAUGAAAGCACGUGGUACAGUUUUCCAAAGAAAUUAGUCCGUUUUCUGGGUGAAGAGAAACCAAUCUGUUUUCACAGGGUGAGUAAUCCUUUGACUCCUUUAUAUAUAUUUUUUACUCACGUUACUUAGUAAGCGCUCGUUCUCUGGGAGUUUUCUGCUACCUGGAACC
rnacentral:lncRNA from 1 species